rnacentral:lncRNA from 1 species
GUGAAAUCUGAUCCAUCAGAUGCAGGCAUCUAAUGAAGGAAUACAAGAAAUAUGAAAAAAACAAGGUACUAUGACACCUCCAACAGAUUCCAAAGAAAUCAAAAUGGAGGAAAUGCCUGAUAAUCAAAUGAUACAGAAAAGCUCAGUGAGAUCCAAGAGAAGACAAACGAAAUUAGGAAGGUAGUGCAGGAUUUGAAUACCAAAUUUAGCAAAGAGACAGAUUUUGAAGAAGAACCAAACAGGCCUUAGGUAAUGAAGAGCACAAGAAAUCAAUUUAGAAGCUCAAUAUACUAGAUUAAGCAGAAGAAAGAAUAUCUGAAUUUGAAGACAGGUCCUUUGAAAUGUCCCAAUCAAACAAAAUUUUUUUUAAAAAAAGGAAAUAAGAAUGAAGAUAACAUUCAAGAUCUUUGGAAGAUCAUUAAACAUCCAGAUCUAAAGUGAGGAGAUAAAGAUUACUUUUCAAUAAGUUAAUAACAGAAAACUUCUCUAAUCUUAGGAAAGACAUGGAUAUUCAAAGGAAGGACAAUUAUAGAACCCCAAGUAGAUAUGCUGUGAAGAUCUUUUCAGAUCAUAUUAUAGUGAAACUGUCAAAAGUAUAAGACAAAGAAUCUAAAAAUCUGUAAGAGAGAUGUGUCAAGUCACUUUUAAUAGCUACCCCAUUAGACUAACAGAAACCCUAUAGGCCAGGAGGGAAUAGAAUGAUAUAUUCCAUAUCCUUAAACAAAACAACCAAGGUUACUAUACACAGCAAGGAUAUAUUUCAGAAAUUAAAAGUAAAUAAAGACCUUCCAAGAUAAGCAAACACUGAGGGAAUUCAUGACUUCCAGAUCAGCCUUACAAAAGAUACCUCCCGUGCUUUCGGACUGGAAAAAUAUUGCUAAAAUGCCCACACAACCCAAAACAAUCUACAGGAUUCAGUGCACUCCCCCUCAAAAUAUUAAUGAAAUUCUUUCCAGAACUAGAAAAAAUGAGCCUGAAAUUCAUAUGGAAACUCAAAAGACCCUGAAUAUCCAAAACAAUCCUGGAGGCAUCACAUUACCUGACAUGAAUGUACACUGCAGAGCCACAGUCACCCAAGCAGUGUGGUAUUGGCAUAAAAACAGCACAUAAUCAAUGGAAUAGGAUCAGGAUCCCAGAAAUAAAACCUCACAUCUACAGCCAAAUGGUUCUUUACUAAGGAACCAGAAAUAUACAUUGGAGAAAGAACAGCCUCUUCCAUAAAUAAUGCUGGGAAAAUUAAAUAUUUACAUGCAGAAGGCUAAACCUUGACCCACAUCUCUCACUCUUUGCAAAAACUGACUCAGAAUGUAUUAAAGAACUUGAUGUAAGACCCAAAACUACUAAAAGAAAACAUAGGAGAAACAUUUCAAAACAUUGAUACAGGCAGUGAUUUUCUGGAUAGGACCCCAAAGUUCAGCAAAAAUUGACAAAUGAGAUUACAUUGAACUAAAAAGCCUCCGCACAGCAAAGGAAACAACAGAGGGAAGAGACGACGUACAGGAUGUGAG